GGUUGAUAGGUCUGAGGUGGAAGUGUGGCGACACAUGGAGCUGACAGAUACUAAUCGAUCGAGGACUUAACCAAUUU
rnacentral:rRNA from 1 species